AUGACCUCAGAGGGAACGCUUCCAACUUCAGGCUCUCGCCCUGAUCCCAAGGGCUACAGAGCUCCGCCCGCGUCCUCCACACUGCACCGCGGCCGCACCUGGCAGCCCUCACAGAUGGUUAUCUCCCCUCCCCCACCCCCGCCUCCGCCCGCCGCCCGCCUGUCCGGCUGCCAGCAGCCCCACUCCCGGCCUUUCAUCUCGUGCCACUGCAGUCUUCCGCCCCCUGGCCGGCCAGCUCCGCAGCUUCUCCUGGCUCGGGCCCCACGGGAGCUGAAGACCUGGGUGCCCCCUGCGGUGGACCUACGCAGGGUGGUCCAGCGGCCAUGGCCUUCCUCACCUGUAAACACACGCACACUCGCACACCUUCAUGGGGUCACAUGCACACACAGCUGGGGGCACAUCCUCAAUCCCUUCUUCCCCAGGGUGGCCUCCCUCUGGUCGGCCCUGCCCUGGGGACCCUCUCCCGCCUCCAGAGCCCUUUGCCUGCCCCAUCGUCUCUACCAUGCCAGCCUAGACAGCCAGGGGGAUGCAGGAAGGCUGCAGCGACAGACGUGGAGAGCCGCCAUAUUCUUCACCUCAAAUCCCUCCCUUUCAGGGGGAUGGCGGAAGCUGGCAAGCACUGAGGCAGCAGGUGGAUGGACUGGCCAAGGGCAAGUCCAGGUGGCUGGUGCCUCAGGUGGACCUGAUGCCACCACAGCCCCAGCUCCAUUGCCCCAGAGCUGGGGGAGGAGCAGGUGUGGCGUGAGACCCCCUGGUGCUGGUGGGAGGGGUUUCUCUGGGACGCUGGUGGAGGGGGGGAGUGCAGCCUGCAGGUGGGAGGGAAGUAGAAGAGCUCUGAUGGGGGCAGGCAAGCUGAGGCAGGAGCUGCACAUGGCCGUCCAGGCCUUGCCGUGCAGAAAGACACAGGUGAGGCGGAAAAGGCUGCAACAGAGCCGCCGCCUCUGGUUGGGCUUGAGUCUGGGCCGUGGCACAGCUUGGCCAUCCCCUCUGCUUCUAGCAAAAAAAAGAGCAAAGCCACACAGGGCAGAGGAGGGCAGAGGCUUUGACCAGAACCCCCGUCCCCAGCCAUGGAUACAGAGCGCUGGGCUUGGCCUGAACUCUGCUAGCCAUGGCCGUCAUGAGCCAGGAUGUGUGAUGUGUGGGUGCCUCCUGUACAGACUGGGGGAGCCCCCAGAGCACACACCGGAUCUUCUACACCUUCCUACCUGCUCCAUCCGAGUGUUGGGGGCACAGCCCACUGCUAGUCACAGCCGAUGGCAUUCCUGGAGCCCUGGCUCCUGUCAUGAUUCACAGCUCUGCUGA
rnacentral:lncRNA from 1 species